UGUCAUUUGUCAUUAGUAGAUGGCGCGGAAAACUAUGACGUUGUAUUGAUUGUGUUUUACAGUCGGCGAACGCCAUUUUGACAGUUCUUUUAAGUUACAAAUUUCUGAAAUAAUUGGAAUCUAUAAAAAUCUACGUCCAUCCGUGCGAAUUUGCGUGUGAACGUGUGAAUUUCUUGUUGUUUAUUGUUAACCCAUUUGGACGGACCAAGAAAUAGGGUUCGUUCUUGGGUUCUGGCUAAUCUAAAUGGUUGUGUGCGGACAGCAUGUCUACAUUGUCAGGGAAUGCCUCCAAAGGGGAGAAAAGCAAGCCAAAAUUUCAGUCAUUGGAUAUAAAUAGCUUGUACAAGAUCAGCAGGGGGGAAAAUACUGAAAAACCGGCACAAAAAAAUUCAUCAAAUUACAUUAAACAUGGCAUGCAAAGUUUGGGCAAGGUGCCUAAUGCACGUAGAGCUCCGGCAAAUUUACCUUCUUUGAAAUCAGAACAUAGUGAUUCAGGCGCAGCAGUACCUUUAGUACCUCCAGGAGCAACAGGAUGGGGCAAGCAACAAGAACAAGGAAGUUCCCAACCUACCACCAAUGCACCACAGAAUGGAGUUCCACCAAAUCAGAAUGCUACCCCAGCUGUCCAAGGACCCCCCCCAUUGACCCCUCACCAACAAGCAAUUGCUAUUCCUUCAACGAAUGUCAUUCCACCACACACCAAACAGCCGACAGUUUCUGUUCCAAUUGCUGGAACAUCGGGCGGCGACAAAUUAUGGAGCGCAGUAAUGGCAGGUGGUCAGCCAGAUGGCGGUCACCCGCCUGCUUACCAGAGUCCCCAGUUUCAGCACGAAUUUCCCAGCCUAUCAGCUGGAGAUGGCGUUGCCGGCGUUGGUCCGCGUGCACCCUCGGAUUAUACUGCCGCAGGACCCGGAGGCGGAAAUCAAUCCGGCUUAAGCCUCCGACCACAAACGGAAGGUUCUUGGACACAAGGUGGUCAACGGGCUCCGGAUGGAUCAGUGAAAAGUGGCUCGGCUGCCCUGGCAGCUCCACCGCAGCUUGCGGCCCAGGGCGGCCGUGCUCCCGAGAUGUUGCCACCACAAAUGCGCGGAGUUUUGCCACCAUUUAUGUACAAAGGUAGCUUUCCACAAGGAGCUCCCCAAGGCGGGGCGGUUAAUCACUCUCAAUCCCAAAUGGGUUCUGCUCCCCAUAAUGGGCGAAGAUCUAACGACGGUCGGCCUCCGCGCCUUCAAGAAGUUUCGUCAGAUGAAUUGGCACCAAGGCCUAUUAUUCGAGAGGAAGAGCUUAGUAAGCUUGAUGAGUUUGGUCAUGAUAUGGGUUGGGCAACUUCAGAUGAUAUCGAUUAUAAUCAGAAGCUAGCCUUUAGUGACGACGAAGAUCGUCCUAGCAAAAACGAAUUUAGACAGUAUGCAGGGGCUCAACCACCGCAAUCACAGCAGCAAUUGCAACAAUCGGUACCCAUUCAAGGCAAAUCACAGGAUGUUAGAGCCGAACGGCAAAGUCCACCUAAACAUUGGAACAUGUCUAGAUCAGAAAACUACAGGGGUCGUCAGACUGAAGACGAUGAGGUUGUGGCUCAAAAACACAGACAUAACAAGGAAGUCGAUUUAGCUAUUCAGCGUGCGAAGCAGAGGAAGGAGGAAGAGGAGAAGCGUUUUAUUGAAGAAAACCGUCAAAGAGCACAGAAGAAGUUGCAGGAAUUGAAUGAAAAGGCACGGGAAAAGCGUGACCGCGAUAGGGAAUCGGAAGUGGGUACUAUAAGCCCUUCAGCUGUACCUCCCAAGCCAAUAAACCACGUAGAUAUCCCACUGCCAGAGUUUCAAAAGGAGAGGGAGAAGGAUCAGAGACCACGCGUUUUAAACGAAGGUAUUCCCAAGGAAGAAAGUUCUGGGUUCCGUCAAAUAUCCCAUUCUGAUCCGAAAGGCUUUUCGAGGAAGCCGCAGCAGAAAUCUGAGAGAGACCAUCGUGAACAGAAUGGUCCUAGUUUUUCACGCCACUUCCAAAAUGACUUGCCUCCCAGGUUCUUGAAGCAUCAGCAGCGCAAUACGAGCACUUCUCAGAGUCAGCCGCAAGGCAGUUAUUCUCAAUAUGAGUCUAAUAGAUGGCCUGCAAAUGCCCGUGCGCCGAGCAGAUCGGGCAGACCCGAAAGUCCUGAUCGUCACGAUGAAGAACAUCGAGACUACAAAAGGCAGAGUUCAGAUGAAAGCUACAGAAGUUCUCAUCAUUCUCAAGCCGACAACAACUCACAAAAAUCAACGGAUAUUCGAUACGGUGAAGAGCCAUAUUCUAAGAGAGACGACGACAAAUGGCAAAAGGAAAAGACUGAUAGUCAUUUUGAAAGGAAAGUUGAAGUACACGAGCGUGAAAGAUACUACGAAGGCAGGAGAUCUCAAGAAACGCUCUCCGAUCGGUUUGACAGACCUCAGCGGCCAGAUAGCCGUGACUCACACACGUCUCACACCUCCCAUACUUCGCAUGGCUCGCAAGGUAGCAACAGACGAUCUAGAGAUUCUGAGCUUAAAGAAUCUAUGGGUUCUUGGACUGAAGACGUAGAAGCAGCUUAUGAAGAAAAGAAGGAAAAAGAAGAAAAGGAAAUUGCGAAAGAAGAAAAACGUUCCGUUCCUACUUUUGUUCCAGGACCUAUAACUCGAGAUCGUAUAGAAGCUGAUGAUGUGAAUGAAAAACGAAAUUUAACUCAGCUUAAGAAAGGUGAAAUGCCACCUCCAAAAAAAGUGGAAGUUUCCAAGAAAGAUGACAGUACACCUUCCACGGGAAAGCAGGCUUGGGGUGAAAUUAUUUCUAUGGAGGAAGCCGAACUGAAAAAAGAACAGAAUGUUAAAGUGGCGGAAUUGAAAAAACCACAGUCUCAUGAUGAUUAUAAAGAUAGGCAGAGUAGAAGCAAUAGAAGUUUUUCACAAACUAAAAGUUGGGGAAGUAGCAGUUCAUCUUCCGAUUUUCACACUAGGGGAUCAUCAUGGGGAACUAAACAGCGCCCUCCCUCUAGAGGACUUAAAACUGGAGGACGAGACUUCUACAGUCAUGAUAUGGAUAGUGAUGGUUCCACUGACACUUACUCGGUUGACUCAAAAGAGUCCAAGUCGAUGGCAAAAAAAUCGUUUGAUAAGGAUGAUAAAAACUCUGAAAAUAAGCAAGAGAAAUUGGCAAGUGAUCAGAGAAGAGCUCAAAAUCAAGAAAAAGGCGACCAUAGAGAUGGCAGUUUUUAUGUGCCUAGAGGAGAACCGUCGAGGCAUGGAAGAGGAGCCGGCAACAAUUUCAGAGGAAACAGGAUGGGUGGAUCCAGUAAAAGAGUGAACGGAUAUGGUCCUCCUCCUUCUAAGAGUCCCUUCAGCCAUCACGAUGAAAAAGAAAAGAAAGCAACAACCGAAGAAAACAUUAAUGAUUCUGCGAAUACAUCUACUCAACCGCCUCCUGUAGAUAAGAUCAAGCAAAACCAAGAAGCUCUUGCGGCUGGAAUUAUGGGCAAACCCCGUCAAGAAUCUUUAGAAGAAAGAAAUAAACCCAAAUUCAAAACCGACAAUAGAAGAAAUAAAUCAAAGACCAGGAGAGAUGAACAGGACAAAGAAAUGUCUGGAGAGUUUUUGGACAAUAGUAAACGCCAACCGGUCAGUCGAUCAUCUUCCCAAAGAGGUGGACAGGCAGGAGAUCGGAGAAUUGGUAAUGAUAGACGCGAACGUACUAACCCUCCCAGAUCAGGAACCGACAAAAGAGGAGGCAGUUUUGACUUAACAGCUGCCAAACGGCCUGAAGGAAAGUCAGAGCCUCAGAAUCUUUUGGCAAGUGCAAUAGCCGAUAUAUCAUUGAAAAAUCGAGAAGAAGAUGCUAAAGAUCAAAAGGAUAUUAACACUGAGUUGAAUGGCGAUUCAGACGGUUUUCAAGAAGUAAAAAGCAAGAAAACUACUAAAGAGCGCCCAAAAGGGGGCGAGGAGAAGAAAGGGCCUGGCCCAAGAGUCGAAAACAAAGAUUCCAGGCAAGAUAAAAAGCAAGCACACAUUGGAAAACCGCUUAGUGUUCAACAUAUGACACCGCAACAAAUUCAAAAUAUUCCUCCAUUGAUGUCCACUCCAGUGAAUCCAGUGAAUAUUAAUAUGUUGCCCCCAACCAAGAAUCAAUACGAUCAGAGGACAAACAAUAGACAGAAUAAAUUAGCUCCCAGGUUUGCAAAGCAAAAAAUGCAGCAGCAGAUGCAACAACAAAUGAUGAGCGAUAUUGGAGAUAUUAAUAAGAUGCCGCAAGCGUCACAUUACGGAAUUAGAGAUAAGCCUCAGUCUGUUCCACCGGUGCCCUGUUCUGCUUGGGAUAAGCCGCUGGGCUCGCAAUUGCGGCCUGCCGAUUUGGAAGCCGCUACGAACAUGUUAGGUGUUGCCAUGGAUGGAGUUAACUUGGAAGGAGCUUCUAGCCCAGUCAGCGAGAAAAUUAUGGGAAAGCCCUCGCAGAUUUCCGACAAAAACCUGCUGGACGGCACCACCCCACCAGUUAAUACAAUUAUUUUUGAAAACACGAACUUUAAAUCGGCUCCAGGGGUGCGAAACGCGUCGCGUAGUGUAUCGGGUGGCUCAAACGAUAAACAGCGGCCUAAAAUGGACGAUAACAUGGACAAUAACGUAUUCGCCAAACCCAUCAACGAUUUGUUACAAAAAAAUGCGGAUAAUGCUACUAAACAAGACUCAAUACAGAUUGCAGUUUUUAAAGAGGAAAGUGAUAUAAAACUUGAUUUUUUCGGAGCAGAUUUGACACAUUUAACGGAAGACAAAUCAACAAAGAACUUGUGUAUGUCCAAGAACAUCACCGCUGUAAAUAACACCAUUUGCAACGCUGAUUCCCUGAAUAUGAAAAUAGCAUCGGUGAAAAAAGUGUGGGAUACUACCGAGCAAGAGACUGAAGAUACAAGUGGUAUGAGUUUUGGAGCACCACUGGAUGCAGCUUUUAAAGGUAGCGAUGCGCAAGAUGACGGUCAUCAUGAGGGAUUCAGUCCUGGCAACAGCCAAGCCGCAUCUACUACAAAUGUAUGCAAGGUUAAACCUACUCAGCAAGUGGCAAGUGCUCCUGGACAAAUCGUAUCUUCAGCAUCUCAGCAACAUUCGGCAAUGGUGGGCCACGCCAUGUUAAUGGGAACUCCUUUAUCGCCUCCACCAAUGGCAGCAACUGCAGUAGGCGUUUCCCUUGGGCCUCAGCCAUUUGCUACCAAUCAGCACUUGACUGGAUUUCCUACAGCUUCUCCUGCUCAGGGAGUGGCCUCGGCUGGCUCAGCUCAAUAUGGAAUUUCUACAAUUCCUUCACCGCCGACUGUUUUGUAUAAUUCGACUCAACAACUUCAAUCGGCCAUGUACACAGCAUUUAUGCCAACGGCAGAUCAGGCAAGCGUAUUAGGUAGCCAAGGCCAUGCUAGAACGGGUGGCUUUGGACAAUAUCCUGCAGCCGGCGCCUACCAUAACUUGGGGCAACCGACAAAUUCUCCUUACAAUACCCAGUCGGUACGUAAUUGGAAGAACUUGGACUUGGUAAUGAACUCUCUAAAUGUCUAUGUACCAACUGCUCCACAUCCACCCCCAACAGCACAAGCUCCCCCUGAAUUGUACUCUUCUCUAAACAGUUUUCGACUAUCAGCCGCUCCUCCAUUUGGCCAAAAUCAGGGGUUGAAUAAUCCUACGACAGUGCUGAUUAGUUCAACUAGCAAUAGCUUGAUGUCUCCAAGUGUCAAACCCAGUCAGCCCAUUAGUGCAAUUGGUACAAAGGCAGGUGGUGUUGGACAGGCAUAUCAGCAACAAUCGCAACAAGGACAACAGGUUUACAUGACUUAUGAACCCUCGCUCCAGGCCGCAAAUUAUUUGCAAGGAGCUGGAGUGAUGCAGCGAGGUCCAACUGGGCCACCAGUCCAAAACAGUGUAGUGCCUGGUUUACAACCCUCUUCGUCAUACUAUUCUGGAUCUACAGGUUUUUUUCAAGGUGGCCAGACUGGAUAUUAUCAACAACCUGGAAAUUCAUCACUUCCCUCUGCACCACAGUUAUCGCAACACCAGGCUGGUUAUGGUUUGCAAGGAAAUGUUUUUGGAACGCACAAUCAGACUCAUGCAAAUACAGGCCUGCAGGGCUCGUAUCCAUUUCAUCAUUCAACACCAAUGCAAGUUGCUGCAGCGCUAAAUGUUCAACAAUUCCGGUCGGCAGCUGCCGCAAGUAUGCAAAACCCCUAUAUGAAGAACGUUGGUGGAGGCGGACAAUCAAUUUCAGGUCCAGCAAACAUCUGGAGGUCAAAGGCCUCAGCCAAUGAAGAGUCCUAGUAGUCAAGAAGUGUUGUCCUCUGUGUUUGGUUCUGCUCCCCAAAUCCCAUCCCCCAAAUUAAGGCAGAAUAAUAAACACCUGCCACAACAGUCCAGUCCAACCACACAAAGAAAAUAUAAUUUCUAUCAAGGUGUUGGGAGUCAACAAAAUAACCUUCAGCAGCGCUAUCCAACCCC
rnacentral:misc_RNA from 1 species